rnacentral:lncRNA from 1 species
AGUUGAUGUUUGUGAUACCAGCUACGGCUGAUAUUGGACAGUCAAUGUUGUGAUUGUGUCGUAUGAUUGUGUCGCCUGAGCCCGCCCCUGCGCGGGCGACCCGCCGGCGGAGCUCGGCCCACCGGACGGGGCCUGGGGCCGCCUCUGCACCGCCCGGGGCGGUGACCGGCCGACCGGCUGGCGGGGCUGCGGCGUCUGGGCGGGCCAGUUGGCGUUGAGACUCUGAGUGGUGUCCGUGUCCACUAAAGCCUUAAUUCGGGCGGAACCGACACAUGGCGCGGUCGGUAUUAGCUCGAACCCGCCCAUAGUGAGUACAAAGUGCGAUUAACGAAAGUGAAAGGAAGCAGGAAUGCGUAGCCGUGGCGGCCGCGCCGCAACCACGACCGCGUUCGAGUCUCUUCAGAGAGGCGCGCCCGCAGCGACGCCAGCUGUAUCGCUAGUUGGUCGAGUCGCAGCUGUGACAUCAGGACGUAGUCGUCCCAUCUCUCCUUCCAGAGGUAGAAGGCGUCACUGCGGUCGGUGGAGAUGUCCAGUCGGUCAGGCCGGAUCGGCUGCAGGCUCGUCAUACCACAGCGAUUACGAAGGACUGUUCUAGAAGCCCUCCAUGCCAGCCACCUGGGGAAGGAGAAAACGAAGGCCCGCGCAAGACAGAUCGUCUACUGGCCCGGGAUCUACCGGGAUGUGGAAAAUGUCACCCGCUGCUGUACCAGCUGCCAGAGAGAUCUACCCGCUCAGCAGCAAGAGACCAUGAUGAGGAGACCGCCAGCGGAAAGGCCGUUCGAACUACACAUCGACUUUGCCGAUCACGCCGGCAGGAAGUACCUCGUGGCAGUGGACAGGUACUCCGGGUGGCUGUUUGUCGCCGACCUCGGUGUAAGCGCCCCCGCUUACACCGGUCCGAAGGACGAUAGCAGGUGUCAUGACGAGCGCACUCGCUACGCGACUUAGCGUAAAUGGACGGCACGGGAAAAGGGCUUUCGGCGGUACCCGGCUUUUUGAUGUCGUGUUCAGAGCCGUGCGGCGGAACGGGCUUACCCAGGACACCAACAACGGCCAGCUGGAGGUGGCGCCACGAAAGUGGUUUACGGGUGCCAGGAACCGCGACGGAGGCCGCCAGGAGAGGACACCAGCUGGAGUUUAAGCGGAGGAGCAGAUGAGAGAAGAAGUCUAGAGAUGAACAGAAGAGAGGAGAGAGUUUAAACAGCAUUUUUGUGUUUAUCGAUAAUAUAAAUAUUGAUCACUGA